GGGGGACAGAGAAAAGUGAAACAGAUUAGAUCCUGAUUUUAACUGACAGAGAGGAGGUUCUUUCUGUAGUGAUUCAUUACAACUGGCUACUACUAAUUGAGGUGUAAAAAAUGUUUUCUCGCCCUUCUCGCUCACUUCCCUGUUGUUGGAGCCUCCCAGAUUUGUUGUGACACACUGUGGUUUGGAAGCAGUUGGUUGUUAGUUGAAUUAUAUGAAUUGUCAGUGGUGGAAAUGUGGGGACUUUUGAUCUCUCAACCUCUUUAUUUCAGAUUUUUUUUUGAGGGAGUAACACCCGGCUGCAGACUGUGGACAGGAAACAGAGAGCGAGAGAAGCUAAAAGCAUCCACCAUGCUUCCCAGCCGAAACAGUUUGGAAGAGUUUGUGCAUAUAUUCUGACAACAUUUUUGGAGUUUUUUUGCUGUUUGAGCACACAAAUAUUUUUCUGGAGGCAAGCUGAAGUUCGGAGCCGAAGUCUACACCCCUUCGUCAGUGAUUGGUCAACACAAGGUAUUAUGGAGUAUGCGAGGGAGUAUGCGAGCACACUAGUUCGGUUUGGCUUGUCGAGUUCAGCUAGGCGCCAGCCGAACUGUAGCAUUCUUAAGCAACAGGUUUGUUAAAUUAUUUUUUAAAUGUAACCUUUAUUUAACUAGGCAAGUCAGUUAAGAACAAAUUGUUAUUUACAAUGAUGGCCUACUCCAGCCAAAUCCAGCCAACGCUGGGCCAAUUGUGCACUACCCUAUGGGACUCCCAAUCACAGCCAGAUGUGAUACAGCCGGGAUUCAAACCAGGUACUAUAGUGACACCUCUUCCACUGAGAUGCAGUGCCUUAGACCGCUGCGCCACUCAGGAGCCCAAUAAGGAGGAAGGACAUUCCAGGAAUGUUUUGCCAGUUGCCACCUUCUCCAUUCACAGCCAUUUGUGUUGGCCCUAUCUAUUACUUUCACUGCAGUGAUACCUUUUGUCCACAGCCUUAGUUUGUGUUCAUAUUUCAGCAUCAUUUCAAUAAAUCUAAUGGAAGGCAAUAUGUUUUUGAACACAGGUGUACUGUAGACUGAUGAUGCUUUGCUAGUGUAGGAAUGUAGAAAUAGGCCCUUCCUGUUGCAUAGACUUAUCUAGCUCCUUAUGUGCUGAGUGACUUGUUGUGGAGUGCUGUGCUGGGGUACAGGCACGGAUGUCUGAUAUACAGAGUGACAUACUGUAGGGCUGCUGGGGAUGAGUGGGUGUUUGAGGUCAUACGGUAAUAUACAGUGAGGGAAAAACAUAUUUGAUCCCCUGCUGAUUUUGUACGUUUGCCCACUGACAAAGAAAUGAUCAGUGUAUAAUUUUAAUGGUAGGUUUAUUUGAACAGUGAGAGACAGAAUAACAACAAAAAACUUCAGAAAAACGCAAGUGAAAAAUGUUAUAAAAUGAUUUGCAUUUUAAUGAGGGAAAUAAGUAUUUGACCCCUCUGCAAAACAUGACUUAGUACUUGGUGGCAAAACCCUUGUUGGCAAUCACAGAGGUCAGACGUUUCUUGUAGUUGGCCACCAGGUUUGCACACAUCUCAGGAGGGAUUUUGUCCCACUCCUCUUUGCAGAUCUUAACCAAGUCAUUAAGGUUUCGAAGCUGACAUUUGGCAACUCGAACCUUCAGCUCCCUCCACAGAUUUUCUAUGGGAUUAAGGUCUGGAGACUGGCUAGGCCACUCCAGGACCUUAAUGUGCUUCUUCCUGAG
rnacentral:lncRNA from 1 species